rnacentral:lncRNA from 1 species
GUUCCAAAGUGCUAGAUAGCCAUCAGAAAAACCUACAGCAAGCUGAUUUGUCCUGCUUAUGUAACUAAGAGUUGAAACAGCUGUUCCUGUUGGACUUACUAACUGGAAACACAGAUGGCGCCCUUGUCUCAUUACACUUUCUCUAAUGUGUGGUACUUCAGCUGGGAUACCAGUUAGAACUUCAAGAUCUGAUGCUUCAACUUCAUUUUGAUUGCAUGACAAGUCAUCCAAACAUAGG